UCUAAUUGCUAAAUGAUGAUGUACAAAGCAUGCAUCAUGAUGGAUAGUAGUAGAACAUAUGCAAUAAAUGCCUAAGCAUCAUCAUAUAUAUGCGCGAAUAUUACAUCAGUUUUUAUAUCAACAUCAUCUAUAUACACAUAAAAAGUCGGUCAAAAAUAUAAGGAGAAUAUAUAAGUAACCAAGGAAUGAAUGGUCUCCUGCGAUAUGAUUGGC
rnacentral:lncRNA from 1 species